GCCCGGGUAGCUCAAUCGGUAGAGCGUGUGGCUCUUAUUGGAUAACCUCAAGGUCGCGGGUUCGAGCCCCGCCUCGGGCU
rnacentral:tRNA from 1 species